rnacentral:rRNA from 1 species
GACGAACGCUGGCGGCGUGCCUAACACAUGCAAGUCGAGCGAUGAAGCUCCUUCGGGAGUGGAUUAGCGGCGGACGGGUGAGUAACACGUGGGUAACCUGCCUCAUAGAGAGGGAUAGCCUUCCGAAAGGAAGAUUAAUACCUCAUAAGAUUGUAGUUUCGCAUGAAACGGCAAUAAAAGGAGCAAUCCGCUAUGAGAUGGACCCGCGUCGCAUUAGCUAGUUGGUAAGGUAAUGGCUUACCAAGGCGACGAUGCGUAGCCGACCUGAGAGGGUGAUCGGCCACAUUGGGACUGAGACACGGCCCAGACUCCUACGGGAGGCAGCAGUGGGGAAUACUGCACAAUGGGGGAAACCCUGAUGCAGCAACGCCGCGUGAGUGAUGACGGUCUUCGGAUUGUAAAACUCUGUCUUUGGGGACGAUAAUGACGGUAUCCAAGGAGGAAGCCACGGCUAACUACGUGCCAGCCGCCGCUGUAAGAC